AAGGCCUAAAUCGAUGAGAUUUUCAUCUCUUAAUUCAACAUUUUCUUCUCUGUCAAACCGUAAGGCAGAAACCUAAGGAAAAAUCAAAGUAGAAGACUUUCAUUCAAGAUUCUUCUUCAAGUUUCAAGAAACUAAUUCAAGGCUUAUAAUCAAGUUCCUCUUCAAGAUUUCUCAAAAACUUUGUUCUUCAAGGAAUUGCCGUUCCGUUCUAAUGAAGAUGUGGCGGUGGAAGAGAAGGAAGUAUUCUUCCGUUUCAUGGAAAAAAUCAAACUAGAAGGAUCUGGGGAUGGACAAGUGAGAACACUGGAAGUAGAGAUUCAUCCUGCAGGGUUAAGGAAGAUCGUUGUGAAAAAGGGAAAUGCAGCCGGUGAAGAUGAGAAUGAAUUGAAUGUGGAUACAUAUUGGAGGUACAUAUUGACUGCUUCGACUAUGCCAGAGCUGGCUGCGGUGGUAUUUGUGGAUGGAGAUCUGAUGUGAUGGUGCCCAAUUAUGACCAAGGUCCUGGAGAAUUUGAUAAUGGAUCUAGAGGUGUUUGGAGAGACGUUGAACUUGUUGUUGUACAAUAGUUAACAUUUUCAAAUUUUAUGAAUCAAAUAAACAAACUACUAGUACAUCAGAGA